GCCAUGCAUGGUGAUAUCCUUUCAAGCUUUGCCCAGGUAAUUUGGGGCUUGUCUCUUCCAACAAGAGCUAAAGUAUUCAAUUGGUUGGUCUUCAAUAAUAAGGUCCUUAUAGCAGUCAAUCUCAAGAAAUGAAACUUUUCAGCUCCACCUCAAUGUGUGCUAUGUUAUAUGGAAGAAGAAUCUACAGAUUAUCUUUUUCUCACUUGCAAAUACUCCAUGCAAAUUUUGAAACACCUUCUAAAGCUGCACUUAACAACAUUGUCCCUCUUUCCACCCACCAUUCGUAAAUUCUAGGGAGAAU
rnacentral:lncRNA from 1 species